GAGCAAGCAUGGUAUAAUGGUUUGAGUGUUAGACUAUGACUCUGGAGACCAGGGUUCAAUUCCCUGUUUGCUCA
rnacentral:tRNA from 1 species